GCCAGCCCCAGGUCUAGUCAGCCCCAGAACUUUGAUCUGCACCACCCCCCUCCCACUCUACCUGAGAACUGUCCCACAUGGGCCUUCCAUGGACACUGGGGUAUGAGCACUUCCCCAGCCGCCACAGCUGCUCCUGUGACCGACCCUUGUCGCCCACUGUCUGCUAAUCGUGACGGAGGAGGGAGCAGUACAGAUCUACACAAGCUGCCACAGCCCGUGAAGAAUGACCGGGCCGCGGGCAGGCGUCACUCUCCCUGCCUGGCAACCAUGCUACUGGGUUGAGCUGGUUGGAAGAAGCUGCAGUCCCUCGGAGCAGUGCCCCAGGAUGUGUUCUCUCUCUUGGUCCCAGUCAAGGAAGGCCUUGAAAAGUGGUUGGGGUUGGGCAAAGCUGAAGAGCUAGAGCAGAGGGCGGAGGGCGGGGGUGACAGCUGGCUGGUGCGGUCAUUUUGCAUUUAACUCAUACAUAGGUCAGACUAGGGAUCUGUGCCCAUUAGGCCUGCAUUCUGCUGAGGGGCUAGUCUCCAGUACCCUCAGUUUACCUCUGUGCAGAAUGGGCCAAGGCACCCAACUUCCCUCCUCCCAGGGCGGCAGAGGGGGAAGGGGAGUUCUGGCAGUUUUCUCUGGACCGUGUAACUUUAAUUCUUUUCAAAGCCUACUUUUCAAAGCCUAAUGAUGGUUUCUUAAAUGUUCUAACCUCCCUUCUAGCCUACCACCUACGGGGGUGGAGUGUGUGUGGGAAAGUGGACCUGUGUAGAAAGAUUCUUUGGAGCAACUCUCAUCUGCGCUGUCUGGAAACAGGCAGUUCAGUUCACAGGUCAGCAGGCGGCAGCAGCUCGAUCCACUCUCAAGCAAUUCAUGGAUCCACCAGCACUGUCAGGAUAGCAGCAGCGUGGCUCAACCCAGCAGCAACAGCCAGGCCUCAGCUGAAUUGGCACGAGUCAGCAGGAGGGAUUUGGAUCGCCAGGAACACCAGGAGAAGUUCUUGACUGUUGUGUGCCUCUCUCAACAAAGUGAAGACCAGCAGACUUGAGGUCAACAAGCCUUGCACAGCUCGCUCUGUAAGCAAGCUUAGCUCAGCCACCAUCACUGUCCAUCCAGUCCUUUUGAUACGUCCUCCACGGGUCUGUCUCAGCUGACAUCACUCUGCCAAUCAGGCCCGAGUUUGAGAAAUCGACAAGAAACUGCAGCACACCACUAAAAGAUUUUUUGGUGUAUUUCUCUCUAUGGAGUCCCAAGAGAUGCAGCUCAACUACGCAGUGUAAGAUGGACCAAUACCUGUGUGUCAUUAUCGGAGAAAUCUUACAUCACGAGUCCUUUCACGUGCUUGCUUUAGCAGAACAUCCUUUCUCCUGUGUCUCUUCAGGGAAACAUCCCUUCAUGUGUUUGUCUUAGCAGAAUACCAUCCAACACAACUGACUUUCCAAAGAAUCCUUAAGUUUCAGGCCUGGGAGGCAGAGAUACCAUCACACACACACACACACACACACACCCCACCCCACCCCUCCGUCUCCCCAGGUUGGGCAGGACCUCCCCAGUCUGCCCCGCUGGAAGGUUUGAAAUCCUGGGUUAGAUUAAGGCCAUCCUGAUCAUUUCUCCUGCCUCCUCCUCUCCUAGUUUUUUUAAUAUAGCUUAGCUAAACACUCAGAGUGUAGCUGAGGCUGGCCUUGAACUCCUGUAGACUGUGUGCUCUACUGCCCAGGGUUAAGGGCCC
rnacentral:lncRNA from 1 species